CCCUUGAACAGUGAUACAAUAGCUUGAAACGCUCUGUCAAAUUCUUUUGCUAAACGCGAUCGCGACAAGAAUCGGUAAAUAAUUUGAUAUAAUUAAUAAUUAAUUCUCUCUCUCUCCUCUUCAAUCUCCCUCUCCCUCUCUCUCUUUCUCUCCUCUUCUCUCUCUCUCCCUCUCCCUCCCUCUCUCUCUCUCCCGCGAACAGUUUUCGCGUCGCGUCCUGUGUAAACAUAGUAUUGUCAUGAGUCGCACAAUGGCUAAUUUGUAGCAUGUAUUAGUGCGUUUUCGUUGCCGUCAUCGUGUCAUAGCAAUGAUGAGUCGCGUUUUCGCAUCGUCGGGAGUGUCGUUUAAAGUAUCGCAAGUGUGAAUCAACUUGAGAGAAGGAGGAGGCCUAGGAGAAGCAUCGGGCAUUGAUGGAGCAAAUCGUACUGUGCCAUUGAUUCGAGAAACAGUCUCGAGGGUAUCGGUUGGACAUAAAAUCGAAAGGGGUUGGUAGACCUUGGUACACGAGAAAAUUCUAGGACGCAGCACCCCAUCGAAAAAACGUCGAGCGGAUACUCACAUCGGGAGGACUUCGUAAAUAAUCAGGAAGGUGACCUCGGCCGUCUUAAGACACCCCUCACUAUCCUGAAGAAAAAUCGAUCCUCACACAUAGAAGACAAACAAAAAAAAGAAGACUAAAAGAAGAAGGUCAGCGAUCGAUCCAAUCGUAGAUGUCAAAACUCAUACGCGUCCUUGGUUUUCGUCUUCACGAUCGUGAAUCGCCACACGCAACUUCAAUUAGAAUUCGCAACCAUGUUACGUUAUGCGUCGCGGCAUAAUUUGCCGGGCGUGUAGAAAACAGGCGUGACAUGCGAUGGCUUGGCAGUCGGAAUCGUUCUGAUCUUGCUGCCGUCGUCAUUAUCAGGCGGGAGCCGCUUUUGCGCUCAAAUAUUUGGAAUGUCACGCAAAGCUACGGAUGAUACGCUUUCUCGGUGCACGCACCGCAUUUAGUUCUCGGAACGCUGCGUGUCGUCGGGAUCGGUAUCGUUAAAGGAACCCAAACACGUAUACAAAUACUUGAAAAUCCGCCGCAACAUCAUUUCCAAGAGAGAGUGACCGAAAAUGCCGAUAUUUUAAUCAUGGGGCGUAUUUCA